rnacentral:lncRNA from 1 species
CUCGGCCCCUCCCUGCCUUCUUUCCUGGUUCUGCAUGAAGCUCAUUCCCUUUCUCCCUUCAGUUAUGGCCCAGCCAGGGGCCCCUCACCAAGAUACUAUUGCCAUGUCAUUGGAUCCUCCAGCCAUAAGAAUCAUGAGCCAAGGAAAUCUCUUUAUAAGUUAUCAGAUGAGAUCUCCUCCUCUACAACCUCUUGUUGUUGGAAGACAAUCACCUACAAUCCCGAAGUAAAAGACAGAGAGGAAGAAUCAUUGGCUCAGCUGUGAUCACAUGACAGCCGGCAUCACAUACCACGCAUAUUGUAAGAUUUUGUUUGUUUAUCAAGUUAAAAUUUAUUAGAAAUGUUUGCACAGCUUGCAGAACACUCAUAGAACAUGUUACUCACAAUCCAAGGUUUUACUGUAUAGGGAAAUUCGUCACAGGAAACUUGGGAUACUAAUGCACCAGGGACUCCUGUCAAUGGCCCUGCUCCACCCAAAAAGGACCUUUCAAGAAUGCAGAGUCCCCAAGUGACAUGGAAAUUGUCAUAGUCAUGUUGCCUCAGGGUCCAACUGUUAUGUCACUACUUUUUAGCUGUAAACUUUGACAAAUGGCCUAACCUCUCUGAACCUGUUUCUUUAUCAAAAAAAAAAUAAAGAUAACUAUACCACCACCUGAAAUUGCUUGGAGAUGAAAUGAGAGAGCAC